CUAAGAAUAUUCCGCAAUGGGCGAAAGCCUGAAGCAGCAACGCCGCGUGUGCGAUGAAGGCCUUCGGGUUGUAAAGCACUUUUUGAGGGGAUGAGGAAGGACAGUACCCUCAGAAUAAGCCUCGGCUAACUACGUGCCAGCAGCCGCGGUAACACGUAGGAGGCGAGCGUUAUCCGGAUUUACUGGGUGUAAAGCGCGUGCAGGCGGUUCAGAAAGUUGGAUGUGAAAGCUCCUGGCUUAACUGGGAGAGGUCGUUCAAUACUUCUGGACUCGAGAGUGGGAGAGGGAGGUGGAAUUCCGGGUGUAGUGGUGAAAUGCGUAGAUAUCCGGAGGAACACCAGUGGCGAAAGCGGCCUCCUGGCCCAUUUCUGACGCUCAGACGCGAAAGCUAGGGUAGCAAACG
rnacentral:rRNA from 1 species